rnacentral:rRNA from 1 species
UACAGAGGGGGCAAGCGUUGUUCGGAAUUACUGGGCGUAAAGGGCGCGUAGGCGGCCUUCUAAGUCGAACGUGAAAUCCCCGGGCUCAACCCGGGAACUGCGUCCGAUACUGGAAGGCUUGAAUCCGGGAGAGGGAUGCGGAAUUCCAGGUGUAGCGGUGAAAUGCGUAGAUAUCUGGAGGAACACCGGUGGCGAAAGCGCUCUGCUAGGCCGCAACUGACACUGAGGGACGAAAGCUAGGGGAGCGAAUGGG